AGUGAACGCUGGCGGUAGGCCUAACACAUGCAAGUCGAACGGCAGCACAGUAAGAGCUUGCUCUUACGGGUGGCGAGUGGCGGACGGGUGAGGAAUACAUCGGAAUCUACUUUUUCGUGGGGGAUAACGUAGGGAAACUUACGCUAAUACCGCAUACGACCUACGGGUGAAAGCAGGGGAUCUUCGGACCUUGCGCGAUUGAAUGAGCCGAUGUCGGAUUAGCUAGUUGGCGGGGUAAAGGCCCACCAAGGCGACGAUCCGUAGCUGGUCUGAGAGGAUGAUCGGCCACACUGGAACUGAGACACGGUCCAAACUCCUACGGAGGGCAGCAGUGGGGAAUAUUGGACAAUGGGCGCAAGCCUGAUCCAGCCAUACGGCGUGGGUGAAGAAGGCCUUCGGGUUGUAAAGCCCUUUUGUUGGGAAAGAAAAGCAGCAGGUUAAUACCCCGCUGUUCUGACGGUACCCAAAGAAUAAGCACCGGCUAACUUCGU
rnacentral:rRNA from 1 species